GAUGAACGCUAGCUACAGGCUUAACACAUGCAAGUCGAGGGGCAGCGCAGUGUAGCAAUACAUGGGCGGCGACCGGCGCACGGGUGCGUAACGCGUAUCCAACCUUCCCGUUACUCUUGGAUAGCCUUCCGAAAGGGAGAUUAAUACAAGAUGGUAUUCAAAUUCCGCAUGUUAUUUGAAUUAAAGAUUUAUCGGUAACGGAUGGGGAUGCGUGACAUUAGGUAGAUGGCGGGGUAAUGGCCCACCAUGCCCACGAUGUCUAGGGGUUCUGAGAGGAAGGUCCCCCACACUGGAACUGAGACACGGUCCAGACUCCUACGGGAGGCAGCAGUGAGGAAUAUUGGUCAAUGGGCGGAAGCCUGAACCAGCCAAGUAGCGUGAAGGAUUACAGCCCUACGGGUUUUAAACUUCUUUUAUAUGAGAGUAAUGUGCACUACGUGUACCGUAUGAAUAAGCAUCGGCUAACUCCGUG
rnacentral:rRNA from 1 species